rnacentral:rRNA from 1 species
UACGUAGGGUGCAAGCGUUGUCCGGAAUUAUUGGGCGUAAAGAGCUCGUAGGCGGUCUGUCGCGUCUGCUGUGAAAACUCAGGGCUUAACCCUGAGCUUGCAGUGGGUACGGGCAGACUAGAGUGCGGUAGGGGAGACUGGAAUUCCUGGUGUAGCGGUGAAAUGCGCAGAUAUCGAGGAGGAAUACCGGUGGCGAAGGC